rnacentral:rRNA from 1 species
GACGAACCGUGCGAACGUUAUUCGGAAUCACUGGGCUUAAAGCGCGUGUAGGCGGAUGGGAACGUCGGACGUUGAAAGCCCCCGGCUCAACCGGGGAAGUGGCGCCGAAACGACCCGUCUGGAGGAACGUAGGGGGGAGCUGGAACUUCCGGUGGAGCGGUGAAAUGCGUUGAGAUCGGAAGGAACGCCCGUGGCGAAAGCGAGCUCCUGGACGUUAUCUGACGCUGAGACGCGAAAGCCAGGGGAGCGAACGGGA